GAUGAACGCUGGCGGCAUGCCUAAUACAUGCAAGUCGAACGCUUUUUCUUUCACCGGAGCUUGCUCCACCGAAAGGAAAAGAGUGGCGAACGGGUGAGUAACACGUGGGUAACCUGCCCAUCAGAAGGGGAUAACACUUGGAAACAGGUGCUAAUACCGUAUAACGCUAUUUUCCGCAUGGAAGAAAGUUGAAAGGCGCUUUUGCGUCACUGAUGGAUGGACCCGCGGUGCAUUAGCUAGUUGGUGAGGUAACGGCUCACCAAGGCAACGAUGCAUAGCCAACCUGAGAGGGGGAUCGGCCACACUGGGACUGAGACACGGCCCAGACUCCUACGGGAGGCAGCAGUAGGGAAUCUUCGGCAAUGGACGAAAGUCUGACCGAGCAACGCCGCGUGAGUGAAGAAGGUUUUCGGAUCGUAAAACUCUGUUGUUAGAGAAGAACAAGGAUGAGAGUAAAAUGUUCAUCCCUUGACGGUAUCUAACCAGAAAGCCACGGCUAACUACGUGCCAGCCGCCGCAGUAA
rnacentral:rRNA from 1 species